rnacentral:misc_RNA from 1 species
AAGUCGUAACAAGGUUUCCGUAGGUGAACCUGCGGAAGGAUCAUUAUUGAAUAUUCUUGAUGGGUUGUAGCUGGCUCUUCGGGGCAUGUGCACGCCUGUCUUGACUCUAUUCAUCCACCUGUGCACCUUUUGUAGUCUUGGGGGUUGAGAGCAGUCAACUAUCGGACGGCUAUUGUGGCCUUUCCGGGUGUGAGGAUUGCUGAGUGCGAAAGCAUACAGCUCUUCUCAAAGCGACUUGUAAACCUCUCCUUCGAGCACUAUGUUUUCAUAUACCACAUAGUAUGUUGUAGAAUGUGAUCAAUGGGCCUAUGUGCCUAUAAUAAUCAUAUACAACUUUCAGCAACGGAUCUCUUGGCUCUC